rnacentral:rRNA from 2 species
CCCACCGGACCCUUCGGGGUUCAUCGGGUGAUGGAGCACGGGACCCCAUCUGGUGGAGUGAGCGUAUUAACAGGUGUGACGCAGGAAGGUAGCCCAUACCAGGCGAUGGUUGUCCUGGUGCAAGUGCGUAGGCCGAGUCAUAGGCAAAUCCGUGACUCAUGCAGGCUGAGACACGAUGCGGAUGAAAAGUGGGUGAUCCUAUGCUGCCGAGAAAAGCAUCGACGCGAGGUUCCAGCCGCCCGUACCCCAAACCGACUCAGGUGGUCAGGUAGAGAAUACCAAGGAGAUCGAGAGAAUCGUGGUU